UACGUAGGGGGCAAGCGUUGUCCGGAAUUAUUGGGCGUAAAGAGCGUGUAGGCGGUCCGGUAAGUCCGCUGUGAAAGUCCAGGGCUCAACCCUGGAAUGCCGGUGGAUACUGCCGGGCUAGAGUCCGGAAGAGGCGAGUGGAAUUCCUGGUGUAGCGGUGAAAUGCGCAGAUAUCAGGAAGAACACCCGUGGCGAAGGCGGCUCUCUGGGACGGUACUGACGCUGAGACGCGAAAGCGUGGGGGAGCGAACAGG
rnacentral:rRNA from 1 species